rnacentral:lncRNA from 1 species
AAAGGUCUAGACCUGAGCAAAAGGUACUUAAUUGGGGACACAUGGGUAGUUUCAGGUGGUAAUUAAUGUCAUCCUAUAAAAGGGUUGUAAAUUAUGGUAGAUUAAAUCAAAAUCACAUAUCUAACUUUAGACAUCUAUGACUGUAUGAGAGGGUUCUUAACUUAAGCAUCCAAAUAAAACCUCUGAUUUUCCUACACCUCACAUCUCUAAGAGAAGGCUUGGGAUGUUUCUCCCUGUGUAUGUCCUGCGGGUUUGUUCAGUACAUGGGUACUUGGAAAGAGUUUUGAAGUCCCUGUGCAGAAGAAACUACCUUCCCCAAGUUUUAUCAUGAAUAUCCAGUCCCCCCACUGUAUUUGGGGAGCAUGGUGCUCCAUUUCAAUGGCAAACCCACAGCUGCAGCGUUGUUUGUUUCCACAGGUGGAUUUCAAGUGGAUGCCAUCUUAAUCACUGACUGUGAGAAAUCAUGGACCCCUAUUCCAAAGGCAAGAUCUUCCACAAACACAGGGCUUGCUCUGGGAAGGUAUCAAUUCCCAGCUGGUUCCUUCAGCUCCCUUUGUAGACACAGCAAAAGGUGCUCUGCCCUAUGAGGUCUUUGGGGAGUUCAUCUCUUUCCAUCAGCAACACAGGGAGCUCAGCCCUGAUUUUCCACUGGAUUUGAAGGCAGCAAAACUGAGAAUUCCACCCAGACUGCACCCUCCCUGGCUCUGGGGCCAGGGAUCUGCUCACUUGUUCAAGAAAAACAUAUGUAAGUAGUUGUUCAACAUGAGCACAUACCUGAAUCUCAGUGGAAAUUAGGUGGAUGAGGAAGUGCUGCUUAAAGCCCAGCACAUGAAUAUGCAGGGUAGGGGAGGGCGGAAAAUCAGCCUUUUAUGUCCAUUUAGGUUAAAGAAUUAAUUUGGACUCGACCACAGUCACUUUCUGUGACUGUUCCACAGCCAAACUCUGAGCGUGAAAGUUUGCUGACAGCAAAUGUUCAGCUAUUUUGUGAAAGCAAACUUGGAAGUUUAAAAUGUGGGCUGUGUUUAAAAUUCAAGUUACUUCCACCAGCCAGAGCUGCAUGUUGCUUCAUCUAUGUACAGGACUGAGUACACUGGCAGUGCUGCCAGAAUGAAGGAACAAUAAUUCUUUCAUGAGAUCACCAAGUAAAUAUAAGUAUCAUGUUCAUGGACUAUUCAUACAGCAAAAAAUAAUAAUCCAGGCAAAGAUCAUCCCUAAUAUAAUUACAGCACUGCACCUCCCAACCAUUGCAUGCUAACACUGGUCCUGUUGACCAUUUAUGUGCAGAACAUUUUACUGGUGUCUCCAUAAAAGAGAGAAUCUUCUCCUUGUGAGCCUGCAGGGAGAAUUAAUUAACAAAAAUAAAUCUAACCCCCAGAACUUAGUGUGUCUGCCA